GACGAACGCUGGCGGCGUGCUUAACACAUGCAAGUCGAACGGAAAGACCCUGCUUUUGUGGGGUGCUCGAGUGGCGAACGGGUGAGUAACACGUGAGUAACCUGCCCUUGACUUUGGGAUAACUUCAGGAAACUGGGGCUAAUACCGGAUAGGAGCUCCUGCUGCAUGGUGGGGGUUGGAAAGUUUCGGCGGUUGGGGAUGGACUCGCGGCUUAUCAGCUUGUUGGUGGGGUAGUGGCUUACCAAGGCUUUGACAGGUAGCCGGCCUGAGAGGGUGACCGGCCACAUUGGGACUGAGAUACGGCCCAGACUCCUACGGGAGGCAGCAGUGGGGAAUAUUGCACAAUGGGCGGAAGCCUGAUGCAGCAACGCCGCGUGCGGGAUGACGGCCUUCGGGUUGUAAACCGCUUUCGCCUGUGACGAAGCGUGAGUGACGGUAAUGGGUAAAGAAGCACCGGCUAACUACGUG
rnacentral:rRNA from 1 species